UACGGAGGGCGCGAGCGUUGUCCGGAAUCACUGGGCGUAAAGGGCGCGUAGGCGGCGCGGUGAGUCAACGGUGAAAGCUCGGCGCUCAACGCCGAGUCGGCCGUCGAUACUCCCGUGCUCGAGCACUGUAGAGGCAGGUGGAAUUCCGGGUGUAGCGGUGGAAUGCGUAGAGAUCCGGAAGAACACCGGUGGCGAAGGCGGCCUGCUGGGCAGUAGCUGACGCUGAGGCGCGAAAGCGUGGGGAGCGAACAGG
rnacentral:rRNA from 1 species